GACGAACCGUGCGAACGUUAUUCGGAAUCACUGGGCUUAAAGGGCGCGUAGGCGGGCGGUCAAGUCUGUGGUGAAAUCCUUCGGCUCAACCGGAGAAUAGCUGGAGAUACUGGCCGUCUCGAGGGGGGUAGGGGCAUGUGGAACUUCCGGUGGAGCGGUGAAAUGCGUAGAUAUCGGAAGGAACGCCGGUGGCGAAGGCGGUUACCUGGAGCUUUGCUGACGCUGAUGCGCGAAAGCGUGGGGAGCGAUCCGG
rnacentral:rRNA from 1 species